CUUAAGCUUGGAUAAAAAAACGCUUGUUUCAAUCGGAAGAAUGAAGAAAACUGGUCACCACCACCGUCUCCUCCGGUUGCCCAUCUUGGAGUACACUUCUUCGAAGUAAAAAUACUGCCCGUCUCCUCCGUUAACAUCGACUGCUCGCCUAAGAAUUUCCUUCUCAUCAACGAAAGAGAAGGUGAAGAAGGCAGAAGUUGCUCGACAUUCCCUAGAAGCACAAGUUGCUUGAAUUUCUUUGAAGUCGAUGCUCAGCAAUCCCAGGAGGUAGUAGUUGUUGUUCAUGCAGACAUUGGUUCACCAUUAUUACUUCGUGAUUGUUGUUUGUGAGGAUAAAUACCAUUUCAAAUCAAGAAUUUGAAGAUAUGGCUUUCUUGAAGAUAGUGUAGAGCGAGUUGAAACUGAUGAAAAAUAUUAAAGAACAAGUUGAAGUGCAAGAGGAACCCACUUUGUUUUGCGAGGGAUUUUUUAAAGAUGUUGUUUGUAUAUGCUAUAGUUCUAUUUUCUCUCAUUUAAGAGUUGAAAAAAAUAAUGUCAUACAAUUUGAAUUGGUAUAGUUUUUGGUAAUGUGAUACUCUAAUCCUUUGUAAUCAACUAUGAUGUUUAUAUGAGUACUGACUUUUUUGAA